rnacentral:lncRNA from 1 species
GGGCGACAUCAAGCAAGUCCCAGUUACAGAAAGAACCCACUGCAGGGCGUCCAGUCACUUGCCCAGUGAAAAGACUGUAAUCAGACAACUUUAAUAAAGGGAGAGCAGGAGAGUGGUGACGAAUUUCCACAUUCCGAACAAGCUUGUCGAAAGAGGAGUGCAGGGAAGGAGCAAGAAUGAGGCACUGGAAGACGGCUGUAGGCGCAUGAUGUCACAAGUUAUUGGAAGAAAUCCCUCCAACCUAGGUUGGGACAGAUGAAGGCGGCGCUUAUUGGUGUUCACCAAAACACCAGCAUGGUGUACCAGCUUUGGCUAGAUGAUGCUCAGGAAAACACAGAUCCUGGUGCCGAACAUGAGGACAGGGCAGGCCGAAGGAGAAAGUGGAAGGAGGGGAGCUUCUCUCUCAGCCUCAUCCUUCUGGGCCUGGAUGCUGGAGAGUCAUGAGGUGCUUCAGAGUACUCUGGGUGAGGAGGGAAAGAUGGUGCCCACCACAUGGAGGCCAGCCUAGGUCUUGUAUGAAACCUGUGAGCUAGCUGAAAGCAGAGAACCCAGCAGAGGAUUCUGGGAAGGUCCUGGGGGAUGGCAGAGCCAGCAGAGAGAGGGUAUGGAUCCACCAGGCAUAGGAUGGAACAGAGCACUAUUGACCACAGUGAACUGGGGCAUGGGCAAUCAAUAAACACAUAUUAGAUUAAGCUAUUGAGACUCAGGGAUUUUUAUACAACUGACAUUCCCUAAGAAGCCAUGAUCUUCCUGUCUCAGGAGGUGCAUAAGCAGUGGUUGAAUGUUCAACAGUCAAGAAUGUUAUAAAAAGAGGUUCUUGGGAGAGUGGACCUGAUGGCCAGCAAAAAUCAUAGCUCACAUUUAUUGAGUUAUUAUGGCUCAGGCAUGUGCACAUAUUCUUUUAUUUAAAUCUACAAUAUGCUUUAUCAUGCUCAUUUUAUACAUGAGGAACACAAGGCAUGGAGAGGUUAGAUAACAUGCCUAAGAUCAUGAAGCAAGCAAGGGGGAGAAAAGAUACCCUUCUCACUCCUUCCAGACAGCUCACUUCACCACCACUCCCCACUGUCUCUAAAGCAAAAGUUAUUUGAAGGCUUAGGGACUGGUUUGGUAUUAUCCAUGCAGGGCGG